CUAUUGUUUCCUGGGCUCCUGUUGCUCCUACAAUGUUCUAUCAGAUAAGAGCACUUAGUAAGGCAAAUACAGCAUCCAUGAAAACACCUUAAAUAAUAUAGCAACAUUGUUAUCCAUACAGCAUAUACCACGGUGUCAUAACACUGAAGAGUGGGUAUCUCAAGAUUUGGAGAUUGUUGGAGAAUGCAAAAUAGGUCAAUAGCCGUAAACCACUCAUUGAGUACGAGAGUCUUUUAUUUGUCAGAAUUAGGGCACCAUUCCAAAUCCUGUUUGAAGAUAAGCUGGACAAAUUGCAAAUGAACAGAAAAAAACAGUCUGAGACUCUGGUACAAUAUACUAGGAACUUCAGUUAGAUACUUUAAUUUCAAAACUAGGAAAAGAAAAUCUAUACUAUGUCCGCAAACUAUCACAUUUUAUCCAAUAGAGCCACGAUGUUAUUAAUUUGUUGAUUUCAGGCCCAAUGGGUGAAGAUGAAGUUAGGAAGCUGUGGUGUGAAAAUAAGUAACUAGACUAUAUGCGGCUCUAACAAUGGAUAUAAAUACUACAGCUACAACAGAAACUAUGGGUGGCAACUGGCAAAGUAACAGUAAGAGUAAGAAAGAUAGUGCAGAGCAUACCAAUUCAGGCAUAGCAAUCAAUUUCAACUCAACAGCAUUGGACAAUCCGUUGAGAAGCAGACACUUCUCGCUGGCACAUCCACAUGUAAGAAAAUCGUCCUCGUCAGUUUCACAGACACCACAGUACGCACGGCCAAGCAAAAUGGAUGCUUUUCCCAGUAAUGGCAUCUCCUCAAGGGAAGGAGUCAAGCCCUGAGAAUCUCCUAGUUCCAACGAGAUAAGACAUGGGGCAUCACUAUCCAUGUGGAUAUCCUCAGGGAAGAUAUUGUCCUCCCCAAUGAAUCACAGAUGCUUUAGUGAUUUAGAACGUACUAUCUCAAACACGUCAACAAGGCAACUUUCUAUUGUUAGCUGCUCUAAUACUGGGCAGCAUGCAUCGAUUGAUGCAGAGGCCGGAGGUACGCCUCCUUUUCAACAACAACAAAAAUCUCAAACGCGUCAACAAGGCAACUUUGUAUUGUUAGCUGCUCUAAUACUGGGCAGCCCGAGAAAUCCGCCGAGGAAUCUAUGAGGUCAACAUAAUAAAAUGUUGUGUGCCUCAAGUGGCGGGAGAUGAGACGUGUACCAGGUGAUACUGGUGCGUCCACAGAACACAGCGGCACU
rnacentral:lncRNA from 1 species